rnacentral:rRNA from 1 species
GUAGUCUGCAACUCGACUACAUGAAGCUGGAAUCGCUAGUAAUCGCGAAUCAGCAUGUCGCGGUGAAUACGUUCCCGGGUCUUGUACACACCGCCCGUCACACCAUGGGAGUUGGAAAUGCCCGAAGUCAGUGACCCAACCGAAAGGAGGGAGCUGCCGAAGGCAGGUUCGAUAACUGGGGUGAAGUCGUAACAAGGUACC